rnacentral:rRNA from 1 species
AGAAUGAACGCUGGCGGCAUGCCUAACACAUGCAAGUCGAACGAGACCUUCGGGUCUAGUGGCGCACGGGUGCGUAACGCGUGGGAAUCUGCCCUUGGGUUCGGAAUAACAGUUAGAAAUGACUGCUAAUACCGAAUGAUGACGUAAGUCCAAAGAUUUAUCGCCCAGGGAUGAGCCCGCGUAGGAUUAGCUUGUUGGUGAGGUAAAAGCUCACCAAGGCGACGAUCCUUAGCUGGUCUGAGAGGAUGAUCAGCCACACUGGGACUGAGACACGGCCCAGACUCCUACGGGAGGCAGCAGUGGGGAAUAUUGGACAAUGGGCGAAAGCCUGAUCCAGCAAUGCCGCGUGAGUGAUGAAGGCCUUAGGGUUGUAAAGCUCUUUUACCCGGGAUGAUAAUGACAGUACCGGGAGAAUAAGCUCCGGCUAACUCCGCGCCAGCAGCCGC